ensembl:lncRNA
GUAAAAAACUCCACCAAACUCACUUUUUUGUAUCGAAUGCUACAUUUUUUAUGCCACCCGGCCUUGUAAUAAGUCACUUCUGCCACUUUUAAAGGACUUUUUGAAGGAAAAAUGAAGGAAUAAUGAGGAGUUUGACGCGUUUCUUGGCCGCUGCUGUUUGGAUCCAGCUGACCAGUUGGAAAAGUUGUGGGUUCCAUUAAUGCUCGGGGCCAAAGAGGAGGAAGAACACGGUCAGGUUUGUUGACUCCAAGGCAUCGGGGGUAAAUGAAGAGAUUGCUGAUACCAGGAACAGCUACACAAAUAUUGUGGACAGCCGCUCUGCUCCCCUACUGUCCUCCGCUAUGCCAGCAGCCAGGACCAGGUGAGAUGACACCCCCAUAUCUCUCUCACUGCUGGAAUGUCAAGGGGUGUGCUGUUGAGCCAGACGGAGCUGCCACUCACUGUGUUGCUGGCUGUGUGUGUUUGUGUGCUGGGAUGUGUGGGGGUUUGGCAGCCGUCGUCCUCGGUGGGAGACAGGAGAGGGGACAGGUGCAGGGUCUGGCUGUGUCCACUGUCCCUGCUGGAUCUGCUUCUUUCUCACACUCCACAGUCAAAGACGUUCCUCUCAUUCUCUCCCCACGUUCACUGCAGCUCAUCUCCAGCAGGAAUCGUCUAUUUUCACCGCCUCCUCGCUGUUUCUGCUGCACGGAUUCUUCUUACACAGCAAAUUAGUCACUUGAUCUUUGUAGCUGCUGUCUUUUUGCACAAGUCCUGUCCAACUUUUGACCUCUACAUCUUAUAUUUAAU